rnacentral:rRNA from 1 species
GACGAACGCUGGCGGCGCGCUUAACACAUGCAAGUCGAACGGAAAGGCCUGCUUUCCCUUGUGGAUUGCGGGUACUCGAGUGGCGAACGGGUGAGUAACACGUGAGUGAUCUGCCCCCAACUUGGGUAUAAGCCUGGGAAACUGGGUCUAAUUCCCGAUAGGGCUGCAGGGUGGUGCCUGUGGUGGAAAACGAUUUUCUAGUGGUUGGGGAUGAGCUCGCGGCCUAUCAGCUUGUUGGUGGGGUAAUGGCCUACCAAGGCGGCGACGGGUAGCCGGCCUGAGAGGGUGGACGGCCACAUUGGGACUGAGAUACGGCCCAGACUCCGACGGGAGGCAGCAGUGGGGAAUAGUGCACAAUGGGCGGAAGCCUGAUGCAGCGACGCCGCGUGGGGGAUGACGGCCUUCGGGUUGUAAACUCCUUUCGACCGCGAGGAAGCCACCUGGUUGGAAGGGUGGUGACGGUAGUGGUAGAAGAAGCACCGGCUAACUACGUG